GAACACUAUGACAACUUUCAUGUGUCACUGUUUGCCAGCAGUUACAAAGAUCAAGGCUGUCUGCUAUGGAGUGACUGAGAAGAGUGAGUUGUAUAAUUGGUCUGGAAAACAGUCUGUCCCCGAGCAAGGCUUGACAAACCAUGGCCUACUGCUUAUUUCUUUCCUGCUGCAAAGAGUUUUUAUAAUUAAGUGAAAAGAAUCUCCACAGGAAAACAUUUUGUGACAUGAAAACUAAAUGAACUAAAAGUAUCUGUAUUAUUGGAAGAGAACCAUAAUCAUCAACUGACACAUGGUCUACAGUGACUUGCAUUUCAGAAGCCGGUUUUCAAAGGUGAGGAGGAACUGCCUGGCCACACAGUCUAAACUACUGAGCACUGACAGGAGACUUGCUGACUCGGGCUCUGGCUGGCAUGAGGAGGUAUCAACUGCCAUCAUCCCAGCACACAGACAUUUCCUUUUCACAUUGUGGCGGUUAGGGUGAGCCUGCACACUGCUAGACCUCAUUAAAAACUGCAGCACAAGAGAGGCAGGAGUCAUUCACAUUUUCAAAACUGCUGUUUUAACACUGUCUUCUGAUGCUCCACCAAGAAACCAGACCAAAUAGCCUCUCUGUCUACAAUCAGAGCUGUGCCUGAUGCAGGAGGCCUGUUUGGAAGAAUGGAAAUUUGGUGAAAAAAAUCCUAACACACAGGAAGGGAAAGAGAAGAUGGUCCAUGAGGUAGAAGAGCAUGAACCUUGUCCACCUGAGAAUCAGCUUCCUGUAUGGGACAUCAUGUGAUCAGAGUUCGGAGAAUCUACGAACUCCAUUGGAAACGGCACAAGAUGGAAUCUUGCUAUGUUCCACAGGCUAUCCUUGAACUGCUCUGCUCAAGUGACCCCCUGCCUCAGCCUCCCACAUGGCAGAGUCUGCAGGAAUGCACACCGCACCAACCAUCUUGUCUUUCUUCAGUGCAUCACAGUGACACUCCUUCCUAAACCACAGACUGCUCAGCUUCGCUUGUUUCUGAACUUUACACGAAUAGAAUCACACUGCAUGCUUUCUUCAGCAACUUACUGCAUAGGUACAAGAUGCAUUAGUACUAGUCAUACACGUGGAUGUUAGUAACUUUCCUAUUUCCGCUCGACAGCACUCAGUAUGAUUUAUAAUCACAUAUUUGUUCACAUAAAUACUCCAGGCUUUGUGGGACCUAUGGUCCACCACUAUCACCACCACUCCAGGGAAGCACGAGAAUAGAUACAGAAACACAACAAAGGAGCUGGUCAGUCUCUGCUCUAAAACCCACUCUACAGAGCAGUUAGAGCGUCUGGUCUAGGAACCACAGUUUGCCGACCUUUCCUAUACAGUAACUGUCUAGAAGUGAGCUGCUGACUUGGCAGCACGCAGCUGCUAUGAUGGUGCCUGCUGUGGUUUGAACAUGUUUACUACAGACUCGGGGGUGAAGGCUUGGUCCCCAGCCGGUGGCACUGUUCGGGGAGGAGGUGGGAACUUCAGGAAGUAGGACCUUAUAGAAGCAAGGAGGUUGGCCUUGGGAUGGCCUGGGAUGAUGCCUCAUGUUCCCCGCCUCCCGGCUUCAUGGCUCUCUGGCUGUCGUGUGAGCAGUGCUAAUCUCCCAGACCCUCUACACCAUCAAGUUCUGCUCUGGCUUCAGAGCCACGAAAUGGAAGCAGCCAUGGACUGAACCCAAAUAAACCUUUCCGUGAGUUGCCUUGCUCACAGAUAUGAAAGGCCGACACACAGAAAAGUGGAGUGGGCUGCUGUGACUCCCUAACCGUGUGGUUCAGAAGCCUUCGGGACUAGCUGAUAGAAGUCUGGGGAAGUGAGCUACGAAAACCCAAGACUGUUGUAAUGCAGAGGCGGUCAGGCAGUUCUGAUGGGGGAAGAGCAGAAUGCUGCAGGACCGUGGACAGCUAAAUGCCAGGUUCAUGGGUUUCAGGUGGACAAGGACUCUGGGGAAAAGGACUAGAAGCCAUGUGUGUUACACUGUGGCAAAGAAUGUAAGUUCUGUAUGUGCCCCAAAUAUCAAGGACGAAUGAACCUGGAGGAGGAAACUGGAGGCUGCCAAGCAUGCAUGCUGUGGCUUGGUUAUUUCCGGCAGCCUUCAGCCAGGUUUGCAGUGAAAGCUGGGAGCAAACACCAGAGUGGAGAGUUUGAAAACCUCCAAGUUACAGCCAGAAAAGAAAGGAAAGGAAAGUGAGGAAAAAGGAACGGACAGCCGCUGAAGAAACUAGCCACACCAACAAGAAGUCAGACUUUGUAACAGGAUAAGAAGCCCUGAGAGCUUGGCUUGCUCGCGCUCACCUCUGGCCCAAGGGCAGAAAAGGACGAACAAGUGUAAACCCCUGUGAAAGACUGGGCUUUGGGGGCUGCUUCCUGUUCACACCGUGGGAAGUGUUUCUCAGUGGCUGCUGCAGCCAAGGUCCAAGUCGGCCUGGCUCCUGCUCAAAGCGGCAGCAGGCAUUGUGUGAACCUCAUGCUUCAGCACUGAGGAGCUAGCUGUAAACAUCUUAAAAUUUCUUAUUUUAAGCCAAUUUCUUAUUCUUGGUAUCUUAAUAUAUGUAGCCGUUCAUUCAGGAAAGAACUGCUAAAUAACCACUCUUUACUCACUGAUCUGGGUUUCUCUAUAUGUUGGAUUCCUUUAUGUGGAUUUGUUACAUUUGGUUUCAUCAGAUAAGAACUAAGAAUUAGUCCCUAUCUUAAUUAUAACGGCCCUAAACACCCAGGACCAAUGUUCCUUAAACUUCUAUGUGACUUUUGGCUCUUGGGUUCUGUAUAAAUCCUGGAAUUUCAGAGUAGCCAACUGUAGAAAAUGUGUACUAUCUAGUUAGUCUAGAGUGGUUGCUUCUGUACUGAACAUAUACAAUAGUUUUCCUAUCAUUAUUUCCUAAACAGCACAGUAUAACAACUGUUUAUACCUCUACACUGUGUAAGGCAUUAUAUAAUUAAAGUACUAAAAAAUCUAAGUGUGCUUUAAAGAAUAUGGGAGGAUGUAUAGGUUAUAUGCAAUAUUCUGCCACUUUAUACAACUAACUUGAGAAUCUUCAGACUUGGUUAUCUGGGGAAGUCCUGGAGGCAAUCUCCUGAAGAGACUGGGGGCUAAUUAUAAAGAAAAUUAACAAUGAGCUUCACUUUGCAGUCUGUCUGUAUUCUGUAAUUACUUUUAUAAGACCAAACCACAAUAAUCACGGCUAGCUACUACCAAUGACUGUAAUAUUCCAGGACUCUUGAGUGUGGCGUGUGUGUUGUUCUGUUCACCCAUCACAUUUUCACAGAAACCCUGAGAAACGGAAGUGCCAGUCCUAAGUCAUAAAUGAAAAACACUGGAAGACAGAAGAGCCGAGAAACUGGUCUAGACAGGAAGCCAGAUUUGAACCAAGUAACAAGUCUCGGAGCACACACUCCUCCUCGCUGCAUAUUACAAUUUU